rnacentral:rRNA from 1 species
ACUCCUACGGGAGGCAGCAGUGAGGAAUAUUGGACAAUGGGCGAGGGCCUGAUCCAGCCAUGCCGCGUGCAGGAAGAAUGCCCUAUGGGUAGUAAACUGCUUUUAUACGGGAAGAAAAAGGGGCACGUGUGCCCUGUUGACGGUACCGUAAGAAUAAGGACCGGCUAACUCCGUGCCAGCAGCCGCGGUAAUACGGAGGGUCCGAGCGUUAUCCGGAAUUAUUGGGUUUAAAGGGUCCGUAGGCGGGCCGGUAAGUCAGGGGUGAAAGUCUGUAGCUCAACUAUAGAACUGCCUUUGAUACUGCCGGUCUUGAGUCACGGUGAAGUUGCCGGAAUAUGUGGUGUAGCGGUGAAAUGCAUAGAUAUCACAUAGAACACCGAUUGCGAAGGCAGGUGACUAACCGUGUACUGACGCUGAUGGACGAAAGCGUGGGGAGCGAACAGGAUUAGAUACCCUGGUAGCGUCGUCU